rnacentral:rRNA from 1 species
UACGUAGGGACCGAGCGUUGUCCGGAUUCAUUGGGCGUAAAGAGCUCGUAGGCGGCUGCUCAAGUCGAAUGUGAAAACUCGAGGCUCAACCUCGAGCCUGCGUUCGAUACUGGGCGGCUAGAGUCUGGUAGGGGGAUCUGGAAUUCCUGGUGUAGCGGUGGAAUGCGCAGAUAUCAGGAGGAACACCGGUGGCGAAGGCGGGAUCCUGGGCCAGUACUGACGCUGAGGAGCGAAAGCGUGGGGAGCAAACAGG